GGUUAUCGAAGGAUUGACCUUAAUUCAUAACCC
rnacentral:ncRNA from 1 species